GGUGUUAUAGUGCAAGUGGUAGCAUAAUAGGCUCAUGUCCUGUUGAUUUAGGUUCAAGUCCUAAUAACGCUU
rnacentral:tRNA from 1 species